CUGUGGGUCGUAAACCUCUUUUCUCAGGGAAGAAGUACUGACGGUACCUGAGGAAUCAGCAUCGGCUAACUCCGUGCCAGCAGCCGCGGUAAGACGGAGGAUGCAAGCGUUAUCCGGAAUUAUUGGGCGUAAAGCGUCCGUAGGUGGUAUAGAAAGUCUGUUGUUAAAUCCCACAGCUCAACUGUGGAUCGGCAAUGGAAACUACUAAACUUGAGUGUGGUAGGGGUAGAGGGAAUUCCUAGUGUAGCGGUGAAAUGCGUAGAUAUUAGGAAGAACACCAGUGGCGAAGGCGCUCUACUGGGCCAUAACUGACACUGAUGGACGAAAGCUAGGGGAGCG
rnacentral:rRNA from 1 species